GCGGUCCGCCUCGUGGACGACCCUGACCCUAGGCCCCGGUCCCGGCUACCCUGGCGGCGUGCGCCCUCCGCGGGAAGCCCGUCCCAGGGCAUUCACGCGUAGCGCAAAGCCGACAGCCGUCGCACUCCAGGGAGCCCUUACAUG
rnacentral:sRNA from 1 species